UACGGAGGGGGCUAGCGUUGUUCGGAAUUACUGGGCGUAAAGCGCACGUAGGCGGCGAUUUAAGUCAGGGGUGAAAGCCCAGUGCUCAACACUGGAACUGCCCUUGAGACUGGAUUGCUUGAAUCACGGAGAGGUGGGUGGAAUUCCGAGUGUAGAGGUGAAAUUCGUAGAUAUUCGGAGGAACACCAGUGGCGAAGGCGGCUCACUGGCUCGGUACUGACGCUGAGGUGCGAAAGCGUGGGGAGCAAACAGG
rnacentral:rRNA from 1 species